GGGUUGUGAGGUUAAGCGACUAAGCGUACACGGUGGAUGCCCUGGCAGUCAGAGGCGAUGAAGGGCGUGCUAAUCUGCGAUAAGCGCCGGUAAGGUGAUAUGAACCGUUAUAACCGGCGAUACCCGAAUGGGGAAACCCAGUGUGACUCGUCACACUAUCAUUAACUGAAUCCAUAGGUUAAUGAGGCGAACCGGGGGAACUGAAACAUCUAAGUACCCCGAGGAAAAGAAAUCAACCGAGAUUCCCCCAGUAGCGGCGAGCGAACGGGGAGGAGCCCAGAGCCUGAAUCAGCAUGUGUGUUAGUGGAAGCGUCUGGAAAGGCGCGCGAUACAGGGUGACAGCCCCGUACACAAAAGCGCAUGUGCUGUGAGCUCGAUGAGUAGGGCGGGACACGUGGUAUCCUGUCUGAAUAUGGGGGGACCAUCCUCCAAGGCUAAAUACUCCUGACUGACCGAUAGUGAACCAGUACCGUGAGGGAAAGGCGAAAAGAACCCCGGCGAGGGGAGUGAAAAAGAACCUGAAACCGUGUACGUACAAGCAGUGGGAGCACCCUUUGGGGUGUGACUGCGUACCUUUUGUAUAAUGGGUCAGCGACUUAUAUUCUGUAGCAAGGUUAACCGUAUAGGGGAGCCGUAGGGAAACCGAGUCUUAACCGGGCGUUAAGUUGCAGGGUAUAGACCCGAAACCCGGUGAUCUAGCCAUGGGCAGGUUGAAGGUUGGGUAACACUAACUGGAGGACCGAACCGACUAAUGUUGAAAAAUUAGCGGAUGACCUGUGGCUGGGGGUGAAAGGCCAAUCAAACCGGGAGAUAGCUGGUUCUCCCCGAAAGCUAUUUAGGUAGCGCCUCGUGAAUUCAUCUCCGGGGGAAGAGCACUGUUUCGGCUAGCGGGCCAGCCCGGCUUACCAACCCGAUGCAAACUGCGAAUACCGGAGAAUGUUAUCACGGGAGACACACGGCGGGUGCUAACGUCCGUCGUGAAGAGGGAAACAACCCAGACCGCCAGCUAAGGUCCCAAAGUCAUGGUUAAGUGGGAAACGAUGUGGGAAGGCCCAGACAGCCAGGAUGUUGGCUUAGAAGCAGCCAUCAUUUAAAGAAAGCGUAAUAGCUCACUGGUCGAGUCGGCCUGCGCGGAAGAUGUAACGGGGCUAAACCAUGCACCGAAGCUGCGGCAGCGACGCUGAUGCGUUGUUGGGUAGGGGAGCGUUCUGUAAGCCUGCGAAGGUGACCUGUGAGGGUUGCUGGAGGUAUCAGAAGUGCGAAUGCUGACAUAAGUAACGAUAAAGCGGGUGAAAAGCCCGCUCGCCGGAAGACCAAGGGUUCCUGUCCAACGUUAAUCGGGGCAGGGUGAGUCGACCCCUAAGGCGAGGCCGAAAGGCGUAGUCGAUGGGAAACGGGUUAAUAUUCCCGUACUUGGUGUUACUGCGAAGGGGGGACGGAGAAGGCUAUGUUGGCCGGGCGACGGUUGUCCCGGUUUAAGCGUGUAGGUGUGUGUUCCAGGUAAAUCCGGUUCACUUUAACACUGAGGCGUGAUGACGAGGCACUACGGUGCUGAAGCAACAAAUGCCCUGCUUCCAGGAAAAGCCUCUAAGCAUCAGGUAACAUCAAAUCGUACCCCAAACCGACACAGGUGGUCAGGUAGAGAAUACCAAGGCGCUUGAGAGAACUCGGGUGAAGGAACUAGGCAAAAUGGUGCCGUAACUUCGGGAGAAGGCACGCUGACACGUAGGUGAAGUGAUUUACUCACGGAGCUGAAGUCAGUCGAAGAUACCAGCUGGCUGCAACUGUUUAUUAAAAACACAGCACUGUGCAAACACGAAAGUGGACGUAUACGGUGUGACGCCUGCCCGGUGCCGGAAGGUUAAUUGAUGGGGUCAGCGCAAGCGAAGCUCCUGAUCGAAGCCCCGGUAAACGGCGGCCGUAACUAUAACGGUCCUAAGGUAGCGAAAUUCCUUGUCGGGUAAGUUCCGACCUGCACGAAUGGCGUAAUGAUGGCCAGGCUGUCUCCACCCGAGACUCAGUGAAAUUGAACUCGCUGUGAAGAUGCAGUGUACCCGCGGCAAGACGGAAAGACCCCGUGAACCUUUACUAUAGCUUGACACUGAACAUUGAGCCUUGAUGUGUAGGAUAGGUGGGAGGCUUUGAAGUGUGGACGCCAGUCUGCAUGGAGCCGACCUUGAAAUACCACCCUUUAAUGUUUGAUGUUCUAACGUGGACCCGUUACCCGGGUUGCGGACAGUGUCUGGUGGGUAGUUUGACUGGGGCGGUCUCCUCCUAAAGAGUAACGGAGGAGCACGAAGGUUGGCUAAUCCUGGUCGGACAUCAGGAGGUUAGUGCAAUGGCAUAAGCCAGCUUGACUGCGAGCGUGACGGCGCGAGCAGGUGCGAAAGCAGGUCAUAGUGAUCCGGUGGUUCUGAAUGGAAGGGCCAUCGCUCAACGGAUAAAAGGUACUCCGGGGAUAACAGGCUGAUACCGCCCAAGAGUUCAUAUCGACGGCGGUGUUUGGCACCUCGAUGUCGGCUCAUCACAUCCUGGGGCUGAAGUAGGUCCCAAGGGUAUGGCUGUUCGCCAUUUAAAGUGGUACGCGAGCUGGGUUUAGAACGUCGUGAGACAGUUCGGUCCCUAUCUGCCGUGGGCGCUGGAGAACUGAGGGGGGCUGCUCCUAGUACGAGAGGACCGGAGUGGACGCAUCACUGGUGUUCGGGUUGUCAUGCCAAUGGCACUGCCCGGUAGCUAAAUGCGGAAGAGAUAAGUGCUGAAAGCAUCUAAGCACGAAACUUGCCCCGAGAUGAGUUCUCCCUGAGACUUAAAGUCUCCUGAAGGAACGUUGAAGACGACGACGUUGAUAGGCCGGGUGUGUAAGCGCAGCGAUGCGUUGAGCUAACCGGUACUAAUGAACCGUGAGGCUUAACCUUACAACGCCGAAG
rnacentral:rRNA from 1 species